rfam:Triticum urartu cultivar G1812 contig942331, whole genome shotgun sequence.
GGAAUUAUUACGCAAUUCUAGCUAUGUAUUAAGGAGAGCAAAUUUGAUAUAAAAAGGAAUAUAUAAUAUUUCUAUUUAAUAAGCUCUAGAAGAAAUUUAAUAAUAAACGAAGUGAAGUGAAAUAUCUCAGUAACUUCAGGAAAAGAAAUCAAAAGAGAUUCUAUGAAUAGCGUGAGCGAAAGUAGACAAGUCUAUUAAGUAAAAUGGUUUAUAAACUGUUUGAAUGGGGAACCUUCCUCAAAGACUAAAUAUGAUACAUAAGCGAUAGAUAAUGGGCCGUGAGGUAAAUGGAAGUCAGUAGUAAUUUUAUAAGCAGUUCGAAUAGACUUAGUUUAAGCUAAAGAACGUACCUUUUGCAUAAUGGGUCACCAAGUUAACAUUAGAUGCGAGAAAAUUUCGUAGUUAAACCAAACGUUAAAAUAACGAUAAGUGUCUAAAGUUAGACCCGAAGCCUAGUGAUUUUACUAUGAUCAGGAUUAUAAAAGUCCGAACGGGUGAUUGUGGCAAAAAUCUCCGAAGAAUCGUGGUAGGUAUAGUGAAAGACAAUACUGACUAGGAUAGCUGGUUUUCUGCGAAACCUAUAACAGUAGGCAAUUUAAGUAAAUAUCUUAGCAGGUACAGAAUUUAAUCUCAGGCAAUAUUUUAUUGCGCAAAUUGGGGAAUCGUGAAGAUUUUAUCAGUGAGUAUGUAGACUCGGAAUGGCAAAGAUAUAUCUUGAAUGAUCAGACAUAGAAUGAUAAGGUUGAAAUACAGCCUUCUGUAGAAAUGAACUUUCUGCAAUAAACCAUCAAAUUGACGGGAAAGUCCUAAAGCAAUCUAAACCAAGUAAGUAUGGUAACAUAACUUAUGGCACAGGUAAUUACUCGUGGUAUGGUAAAAUGAGCGCUUGUUAAGUUAUAAAAGCAUCGAAAAUAUAACGGAUCUAAACAAUAUACCGAAACCUUGUCCAUAAAUUAUUAAGGAUAUUUAAUAUUUGUGGGGUAGCAGAACGUUGAAUUAGGCUAAAUAGCAAGUUUGUAAAUUUGUUAUGUUAAUUCAAGUGAGAAUGGUGACAUGAGUAACGAAAAGAAUAGUAGAUUUAGGUACAUACAUUAAAUAAUAGAUCUUAUUUAAUGCUUACUAGAUCUGCUAUCCGCCUAAAGCUUAUGGUUAGAAUUAAGUAACGGCCUCUAAGCUUUUAAUCUAAAGAUUGAAGCGAUGAGAAAAUCUUUUAUUAUGAAAUAGACGACAUUUAUCUAGUGAAAAAUGUACAGGAAAAAUCGUAAUAUAGUAACCGUACCUAGAAACCGACUAUGGUAAGCUAGUAGAGAAUACGAAGGCGUAAUUGAGAUAACAAUCAUAAAGGAACUCGGCAAAUUGACUAUCGUAACUUCGGGAUAAGUAGGGCUCAUUAUUCUUGAUUAAUAUCAGGUAAAGAGGAAGAAACAUAAAAUAAUGUUGUACGACUGUUUAAUUAAAACACAGCACUUUGCUUAAAGAUUAAAAAUCUAUGUAUAAAGUGUGAUAUCUGCCCGGUGCCGGCUGGCUAACAGAGAUAAUUGAAUAUAUUACUAUUUGAUGUCGACGGAAGCCCCGGUUAAAGGCGGCCUUAACGUGAGGGUCCUAAGGUAGCGAAAUGCCUUGGCCGUUAAAUGCGGUCUUGCAUGAAUGGUGUAACGAUACAACAGCUGUCUCUAUGAUUGACUCAGUGAAAUUG